UACGUAGGGGGCGAGCGUUGUCCGGAUUCAUUGGGCGUAAAGGGUGCGUAGGCGGCGCGGUAAGUCGGGUGUGAAAUCUCGGGGCUUAACUCCGAAACUGCAUUCGAUACUGCCGUGCUUGAGGACUGGAGAGGAGACUGGAAUUUACGGUGUAGCGGUGAAAUGCGUAGAUAUCGUAAGGAAGACCAGUGGCGAAGGCGGGUCUCUGGACAGUUCCUGACGCUGAGGCACGAAGGUCAGGGGAGCAAACGGG
rnacentral:rRNA from 1 species